rnacentral:snRNA from 1 species
AUCGCUUCUCGGCCUUUUGGCUAAGAUCAAGUGUAGUGUUUGUUCUUAUCAGUUUAAUAUUUCAGCCCUUUGUAUUCAGCAUGUUCUAUGAAAAUUGAAGCUUUUGGGUUUUUUUGUAGCCACAUAAAUGUAAACCUUGUUUAUUUGACCCGUGUGAGCCUUUGAGUUUGACAUGCUUGCUCCAGGCCAAGUCCU